rnacentral:lncRNA from 1 species
CAUUCAAACAUUCCCACUCAUUCUGUUUCUCUCUCUCUCUCUUUCUCUCUCUCUCUCUCUCUCUCUCUCUCUUUUUUUAAUGACAGAGCAAUAAUUCCCGGUGUCAGCAUAUCAGAAUUCCAGCGUCUGUGAUCAGAAUGAAAAUGAGCUGCUGUAAUCUGGCCAUUCGGAUCGACAUAUUACAAUACGCAGCCAUAGAUAACCUAGCGCCGCUCUCAAUUACAGUCUCCUUGGGAGAGGCUGAACUGCUCAGCGCCUGCCAAAAGAUGGUGACUCCAAGCUGUGGAUUUGGUCUGUGUCCCUCUGAGUGGGUUUUCAGCGUGUGUCUGAUUUUCUCCUUCAUGUUACCCAUCAAGGGCAGGAGGUUAUACAAUACCCUGUGAAAACAAGCAGCCACCUGCUCCCCACCCUGCAGGGCCAAGUGG